UAAGGAAUAUUGGUCAAUGGACGCAAGUCUGAACCAGCCAUGCCGCGUGAAGGAUGAAGGUCCUCUGGAUUGUAAACUUCUUUUAUCUGGGACGAAAACGGGAUUUUUAUCUCAAUUGACGGUACCAGAGGAAUAAGCACCGGCUAACUCCGUGCCAGCAGCCGCGGUAAUACGGAGGGUGCGAGCGUUAUCCGGAUUUACUGGGUUUAAAGGGUGCGUAGGUGGGCUUAUAAGUCAGUGGUGAAAUCUCCGAGCUUAACUUGGAAACUGCCGUUGAUACUAUAGGUCUUGAAUUAUCUGGAGGUAAGCGGAAUAUGUCUUGUAGCGGUGAAAUGCUUAGAUAUGACAUAGAACACCAAUUGCGAAGGCAGCUUACUACAUAUAAAUUGACGCUGAGGCACGAAAGCGUGGGGAUCAAACA
rnacentral:rRNA from 1 species